rnacentral:rRNA from 1 species
AUUGAACGCUGGCGGCAUGCCUUACACAUGCAAGUCGAACGGCAGCACGGGUGCUUGCACCUGGUGGCGAGUGGCGAACGGGUGAGUAAUACAUCGGAACAUGUCCUUUAGUGGGGGAUAGCCCGGCGAAAGCCGGAUUAAUACCGCAUACGAUCCACGGAUGAAAGCGGGGGACCUUCGGGCCUCGCGCUAUAGGGUUGGCCGAUGGCUGAUUAGCUAGUUGGUGGGGUAAAGGCCUACCAAGGCGACGAUCAGUAGCUGGUCUGAGAGGACGACCAGCCACACUGGGACUGAGACACGGCCCAGACUCCUACGGGAGGCAGCAGUGGGGAAUUUUGGACAAUGGGCGAAAGCCUGAUCCAGCAAUGCCGCGUGUGUGAAGAAGGCCUUCGGGUUGUAAAGCACUUUUGUCCGGAAAGAAAUCCUUGACUCUAAUACAGUCGGGGGAUGACGGUACCGGAAGAAUAAGCACCGGCUAACUACGUG